ACCUGGGUAGCUCAGUGGUUGAGCAUCUGCCUUUGGCGCAGGUUGUGAUCCCAGGGUU
rnacentral:tRNA from 1 species